AUACGAAGGGGGCAAGCGUUGUUCGGAAUAACUGGGCGUAAAGCGCACGUAGGCGGAAUGUUAAGUUAGAGGUGAAAUCCCAGGGCUCAACCCUGGAACGGCCUUUAAUACUGGCAAUCUAGAGACCGAGAGAGGUGAGUGGAAUUCCGAGUGUAGAGGUGAAAUUCGUAGGUAUUCGGAGGAACACCAGUGGCGAAGGCGGCUCACUGGCUCGGUACUGACGCUGAGGUGCGAAAGCGUGGGGAGCAAACAGGAUUAGAUACCCCAGUAGUCC
rnacentral:rRNA from 1 species